GGGAGAAUGGCUACUGGGAGAGGUUUCUGUGAAUGCUGCUGAGGACAAGGUGUCAGUGUGGUCUGUCUGGGUUGAAGCAGAUGGAGGAAGAUCCCUCAAUGUUAAUAGGGAUAAACCUGUGCUCUCUAAGGAGCAAUGGGAAUAAGUAUGAGAUUGUAGAUAGAUUCUUCUCAGUUAUGUUUAUGAAAGUCAAGCUCUUUUGAAUAUAAAGUAUCUGGACAUUGCAUAUCAGUACACACACAGACAAUCUAGGUCGCUGUUAGACCUCAGAGUAAGAAGAGGUAUCAUGUCCCAGGUCUGACCAACAAGAACCCUACUGGAUCACAGCAGUCCUAGUCUAACAGGCUAUUCAGCCUGUUCUGAUUCUUCCAGGAACUCCACAAGCGGGGCAUGAAGAAAACAUCUAUCUACUGUGCUUCCUUCCAAACACUCAGCAUUCAGAGGCAUAGCUGCUCAGAACCUGGAGGGUCCAUUAAACGGACCUGUUCUCCAUGAAUUUGUCUAGCCCUCAUUGGAGUGUUGCUCAGCUUGAAUACAUUAGUUGUUCUCAGUCGACCGGAUAGGAAGCACCGUGCUUAAGCAACAUACGAAUCUUGCAUUUCUCAAUCUCCUUGCUGUAUUCUGGCAGUAAAAGGAACCAAGAUUGCUAAUAGAAAGCUAUCAUCCUUAACAGGUGUCAAGUUUUUAAGUGCUGCGCUGGUCUCCCUUGCAUCCAGCUACCUGUUCUGCUUGUAGAUUAAUACAAUCCCUCCUUUUAAGCAACAGCACAUUCCAUUAUUCUUCUCCACGCUGCAGUACGUCUAUUACCCGCCAUGGGAAUGCCGCGAUGUUGUGGCAAUACCGUUCCACUGUUGUCUUUUUGCAGGUGCUUCAUGUCUGGAGCACUACAAAGCAUGCAGAUGAUGAGGCUUAAUUUAGAAUGACUGGAGGAUUUAAACCGAAAGGCUUACAAACAUUUCCUUCAUGCUCCUCUGCAGCUUCUUGUCUCCAUGGAGCACAGUGUGCCUCUGUGUGUGUGCAAAUGAAGAAAAAUGCAGGUUACAGAAGAGGCACUGCUUCCCUAGUAAGAAAAUGACGAUUGCCAAGGCUUGAGCUUGUGUGCGUGGCAAGGAGGCACUGCUUUCUAAUACUGUGCAAGGGAGACACUUUGCACAUGUUCAGAGACACUAAGGCAGGUGCCAAGACUGUCUCAGCAAUUGCAUUAUUGGGGAAGUUUGUUUCCCAUAAGCAUCCCCGGAAACAGGCUCGGGUAAUGCGUUUUCCCUCUCUUUGACUCUCAGGAUGGGCAGAAUGGCUUUCUCUUCCCACUGGGCAACCACGACCACCCAAGAAAAUAUUGAGAUUACAGGGGUGAAGCUGGGCUUUGAACCAACCUGAGGCCAGCAUGCCUCUUCUGAAUUUCUGAAAUCAUAUGCUAUAAUAAGGGGACGCGGGUGGCGCUGUGGGUUAAACCACAGAGCCUAGGACUUG
rnacentral:lncRNA from 1 species